UCGAGGAUAUUUAGCAAUGGACGAAAGUCUGACUAUGCGACGCCGCGUGCAGGAUGAAGGUCUUCGGAUUGUAAACUGCUUUUGUUAGGGGAGAAACCUGUGUUGUUAAUAGCAAUACAGCUGACGGUACCUGACGAAUAAGCCACGGCAAACCCUGUGCCAGCAGCCGCGGUAAUACAGGGGUGGCAAGCGUUACUCGGAAUUAUUGGGUGUAAAGGGCAGGUAGGUGGUCUUGUAAGUGGGGGGUGAAAUCCUGCGGUUCAAUCGCAGAACUGCCUUCCAAACUGCUUGACUUGAGAGUGUUAGGGGAGAAUGGAAUUCCCGGUGUAAGGGUGAAAUCUGUAGAUAUCGGGAAGAACACCAACAGCGAAGGCAAUUCUCUGGGACACUUCUGACGCUGAACUGCGAAAGCUAGGGGAGCAAACAGA
rnacentral:rRNA from 1 species